rnacentral:rRNA from 1 species
UGCCCCCCGGGCCCGUGCCCGCCGGAGACCCCAACACGAACACUGUCUGAAAGCGUGCAGUCUGAGUUGAUUGAAUGCAAUCAGUUAAAACUUUCAACAAUGGAUCUCUUGGUUCCGGCAUCGAUGAAGAACGCAGCGAAAUGCGAUAACUAAUGUGAAUUGCAGAAUUCAGUGAAUCAUCGAGUCUUUGAACGCACAUUGCGCCCCCUGGUAUUCCGGGGGGCAUGCCUGUCCGAGCGUCAUUGCUGCCCUCAAGCCCGGCUUGUGUGUUGGGUCGCCGUCCCCCUCUCCGGGGGGACGGGCCCGAAAGGCAGCGGCGGCACCGCGUCCGAUCCUCGAGCGUAUGGGGCUUUGUCACAUGCUCUGUAGGAUUGGCCGGCGCCUGCCGACGUUUUCCAACCAUUUUUUCCAGGUUGACCUCGGAUCAGGUAGGGAUACCCGCUGAACUUAAGCAUAUCAAUAAGCGGAGGAAAAGAAACCAACCGGGAUUGCCUCAGUAACGGCGAGUGAAGCGGCAAGAGCUCAAAUUUGAAAGCUGGCUCCUUCGGAGUCCGCAUUGUAAUUUGCAGAGGAUGCUUUGGGUGCGGCCCCCGUCUAAGUGCCCUGGAACGGGCCGUCAGAGAGGGUGAGAAUCCCGUCUUGGGCGGGGUGUCCGUGCCCGUGUAAAGCUCCUUCGACGAGUCGAGUUGUUUGGGAAUGCAGCUCUAAAUGGGUGGUAAAUUUCAUCUAAAGCUAAAUACUGGCCGGAGACCGAUAGCGCACAAGUAGAGUGAUCGAAAGAUGAAAAGCACUUUGAAAAGAGAGUUAAACAGCACGUGAAAUUGUUGAAAGGGAAGCGCUUGCGACCAGACUCGCCCGCGGGGUUCAGCCGGCAUUCGUGCCGGUGUACUUCCCCGUGGGCGGGCCAGCGUCGGUUUGGGCGGCCGGUCAAAGGCCCCUGGAAUGUAGUACCCUCCGGGGUACCUUAUAGCCAGGGGUGCAAUGCGGCCAGCCUGGACCGAGGAACGCGCU